rnacentral:rRNA from 1 species
UACGUAGGGUCCAAGCGUUGUUCGGAAUUACUGGGCGUAAAGCGUGCGCAGGCGGCUUGCCAAGUCAGAUGUGAAAGCCCCGGGCUUAACCUGGGAAUGGCGUUUGAAACUGGCAGGCUAGAGUUUGGCAGAGGGGGGUGGAAUUCCACGUGUAGCAGUGAAAUGCGUAGAGAUGUGGAGGAACACCGAUGGCGAAGGCAGCCCCCUGGGCCAAAACUGACGCUCAGGCACGAAAGCGUGGGGAGCAAACAGG